AAUUACAGACAUGAAGGGAUGAUGGGUGACCGAUGAAGUUCUAAUCUUAUUUCGAACAUAAAAAAUACAUCUUGAAAAAUUUGUAUUUGAUUAGAAAUAGGAUUAGUCUGCCCAUUUUUCAUAUAGAUUCCAUUCGUUUUUUGAAUGGUUUUGUUUUCAUUUGCGACUAAUCCUUCCACAAACUUGCGGGAGGAUUUUUUU
rnacentral:sRNA from 1 species